GACGAACGCUGGCGGCGUGCUUAACACAGGCAAGUCGAACGGAAAGGCCCUUCUUUUGUGGGGUGCUCGAGUGGCGAACGGGUGUGUAACACGUGAGUAUCCUGCCCUUGACUUUGUGAUAACUUCAGGAAACUGGGGCUAAUACCGGAUAGGAGCUCCUGCUGCAUGGUGGGGGUUGGAAAGUUUCGGCGGUUGGGGAUGGGCUCGCGGCUUAUCAGCCUGUUGGUGGGGUAGUGGGUUACCAAGGCUUUGUCCGGUAGUCGGCCUGGAAGGGUGGCCUGCCCCAUUGGGACUGCGGUACGGCCCAGACUAAUACAGGAGGCAACAGUGGGGAAUAUUGCACAAUGGGAGGAAGCCUGAUGCAGCAACGCCGCGUGCGGGAUGACGGCCUUCGGGUUGUAAACCGUUUUCGCCUGUGACGAAGCGUGAGUGACGGUAAUGGGUAAAGAAGCACCGGCUAACUACGUG
rnacentral:rRNA from 1 species